CUACACAGACCCGCACUGACCUGGAAAAGCUUCGGGAGCGGCGACGGGAAGGCAGCAGGAGGUGGUGCGGGGACCCGAGGCGCCUCGUACCCGGCCGGGCUGACGCGGCCCCGCUACACACAAAGCGCUUCAGCUGCACAGGGCGCUAUUUUCCGAAAAUGCCGCGUCUGGUCGGCGCCCAAAAUCCCCACCGAAAAGUCCCCCGUGCUGCGCGCGGAGGGACACAUGGUGUGCGAGUGAGUCAAGCUCCCAGCAUCCCUCCCGGACCCGGCCCUCUUCAGCUCAUCGCCCGAGGAUUUUCCGCCUCUGCCCUCGUCGGCAGAUCCUGCUCCUACCCACUCCCUAGCUGUGUUCCCGCGGGGAGAGAGGGGAAAGAGGGUCUGAUUUUUUAACGAAGGGAAAGAAAAUAUGCCAUUUCUAGCGCUUCAGCCACACAAAGAAAGCGGCGGAAUGAUCCGCUCUCGGCGACCGCAAGUCCCGGCUCGCCCGGCGCCUGCGCGGCAGCGGGGGUGGGAGCUGCGGACGGCCAUGUGCGCGGCGGAGAGGCCGGGUGGCCACCGAACCUUCCCGCCUGUUCUGCGGUGGGUAGGAGUUUGGAAACUAAUGUUCCUGUGCUAACCUUCGUGUCUCUGUGACAUGACUGUUGAAAGACGGAGAGUGCGGAAUCUUUGGAGUUUUAAGCUUGCCAACUGUGCGGCCUAGCAGAAUCCUGGGAGACGGAAGGACAGCCAAGAGGCUAGGAUUUACCUUUAAGUGUCCCUAGAUUCAACUAGGCAGACUGGGACGGGAGACGCUGUGAAGGUACCAGGGAAGGAACGAGUGAGGUUCCUUUUCCACUUUUUCAUAAACUCAACAGUCAGGUUCAUGACGAAGAUAUAGAUAUUUCUGUAGAUUUUUUCCCCAACAUUCUAAUUAUGCCUCAUGUUUCGUAGAUCCUAGUAACUGCUUGGAUUACUGCCACCUCAGAGGUAGAGAUCUGUUUUUCCGUGGCUGGAAUGCCAAAAAUUUUGUUGUAUUUUAUUAAGAAAGUAGCAAAAGUUUGGAGAUUUGCAAAGUUAAAAAAAAAAAAAGCAUUAUGAACUUAAUCUAGAUGUGAUUUGCUAAGGAACUUAAUAUAUUGAUAUGUUUUUCACAGGGGCGUCUGGGCAUGGCUUUCCCAACCUAGUAACUGCAACUUUUAGCAUCCUACAUGUAGGACUUGGGAAUAUGUGAGACAGCGCCAAGAAUUUAAUCCAGGAGAAUUGACAAGCUUAAAUGAAAUCCAUAUUGCCCACUGAUUUUGUGCAGCUUCAGCGUGAGCAGCCUGAAGCCCUCACUGGAAGCAGAUACUGCUACCAUGCUUCUUGUACAGCCUGCAAAACCGUGAGCCAAAUAAGCCGAACAUUCUAAGACACUGGGAUUACAUGAGUGUUAGCACUCUAUGACUUAAUGAGAACAACCAACAUAUUGUUUGCAUAGUUCUUGCACCAUUUGGAAACAGUGACCUUUAGGUGUUGCAGGUAACUAUUGGGAAAUCCUUCAAUUUGUUUAACAUUUCCAUAUUUUGAUUUGCAUCUUGGGAGUUGCUUGGAAUUUGGGAUCCUCUUCUGUCUCUUGAGUUGAAAUCAGAGGCUGCUUGCCGGGCAAGGUGGCUCACGCCUGUAAUCCCAGCACUUUGGGAGGCCCAGGCAGACAGAUCACCAGAUGUCGGGAGUUAGAAACCAGCCUGGCCAACAUGGCAAAACCCCGUCUCUACUAAAAAUACAAAAAUUAGUCGGGCGUGCUGGUGCAUGCCUGUAAUCCUAGCUGCUUGGGUGCUGAGUUAGGAGAAUUGCUUGAAUCCGGGAGGUGGAGGUUGCAGUGAGCCAAGAUCGUGUCACUGCACUCCAGCCGGGGCAACAGAGCAAGACUCUGCCUCAAAAAAAAGAAAAAAGAAAUCAGAGGCUGGGCAUAGUGGCUCAUGCCUAUAAGCCCAGCACUUUGGGAGGCCAAGGCAGGUGGAUCACUUGAGGCCAGGAGUUCAAGACCAGCCUGGGCAACAUGGCAAAAGCCUAUCUCUACUAGAGAUACAAAAGAUUAGCUGGACGUGAUGGUGUGUGCCUGUAAUCCCAGCUACUCAAGAGGCUGAGGCACAAGAGAAUUGCUUGAACACAGGAGGUGGAGGUUGCAGUGAGCCAAGAUCACGCCACUGCACUCCAACCUGGGGCAACAGAGUGAGACUCUGUCUCAAAAAAAAAAAAAAGAAAUCAGAGAUAAUAUAAAUGCAGGUGUAAACUCAUACACUUAAUGGGCUAUAAGUUUUGGAACUGGCUGUGAUAAUAUAACAAAAGUAAUAAUGGGCUGUAAGUGGUAUUAAAUGUGGGAUUAACUGGAUAUUUAAUGAUACCAAGGAAUCAUUAAUUUUGUUUGGCUGUGAUGUUUUAUUAUUAGAAUGAUGUUAUGAUUAAAUUUUAUUUUUGUCUGGAUACAGUGGCUCACACCUGUAAUCCCAGUGCUUUGGGAGGCCGAGGCAGAUGGAUCACUUGAGGCCAGGAGUUCCAGACCAGCCUGGCCAACACGGCGAAACCCCAUCUCUACUAAAAAUACAAAAAAUUAGCCAGGCCUGGUGGUGCACGCUUGUAAUCCCAGGUACUUGGGAGGCUAAGGCAGGAGGAUCACUUGAACCCAGGGGAGGCUGCAGUGAGCUGAGAUCGUGCCACUGCACUCCAGCUUGGGCAACAGAGCAAGACUCCAUCUUAAAAAGAAGAAAGAAAGAACUUCUAUUUUUUAAAUGUUUUUUCCUUUCAUUGAACUCCAUUUAUAGCCUUUCCAUUCAGAGCAUAAAGAUUAAAUUUUAAAACAAGGCUUGGCACCCUGGCUUAUGCCUGUAAUCCCAGCACUUUGUGAGGCCAAGGUGGGCGGAUCACCUGAGCUCAGAAGUUUGAGUCCAGCCUGGCUAACAUGGUGAAACCCCAUCUCUAAAAGAGUACACAGUCCUAGAGCAGUGGUGUGCGCCUGUAGUCCUAGCUACCUGGGAGGCUGAACCAGGAGAAUUGCUUGAGCCUGGGAGGCAGAGGUUGCAGUGAGCCAAGAUCGCACCAUUACACUCCAGCCUGGGUGACAGAGAGAGACCCUGUGCCCCUCAAAAAAAUGUUUUUUUUAAACAAGAAUCUCUCAGGCAUACUGAAAUGUUGAAGAGGAAAUUAUAUUAAUAUCUGGGACUUGUUUCCAAAUUUGGAAUUGGGGCAGGGUGUAAAUUGUUGGCAAUAUCAAAGAAACGAGGAGUUGGAAUGAUAAUUGUAGAAGCUGCAUGAUAGAUACACAUUCUUUAUACUUCUGUAUAUGUUGAAAUUUUUUAUCAAAUUAUAAUUGUGUAUAAUGACUAAUUAUGCUUUCAUUGUCUAUUCUGUGUGGUUAUGUUACUUGCUGAAAUUAAUACAUAAAGAGUCUUCAACUUAAAUGACUUAUCAAGCAUAAAUAUUAAAAUACUGGAUGUUACUACACAUUUGACUCCACUUAUGCAUUUAUUCAUCAACUAUUAAAUGCUUUCAUGUAGAUUUCUCAUUUAAUCUCUGCAAGGUAGGUGUUACCCCUGGUUUUACAAAUGAGAAAAUGUAGAUUCAAGAUAAGUAAUAUGCAGGUCAAGAAUAGCAAAAUCGGUCGGGUGCGGUACCUCACGCCUGUAAUCCCAACACUUUGAGAGGCCGAAGUGGGUGGAUCACCUGAGGUCAGGAGUUCAAUCCCAGCCUAGCCAAUACAGUGAAACCCCAUCUCUACUAAAAAUACAAAAAUUAGCCAGGCAUGAUGGCAGGUGCCUGUAAUACCAACUACUCGGGGGGUUGAGGGAGGAGAAUCGUUUGAACCCGGGAGGUGGAGGUUGCAGUGGCCCGAGAUUGUGUCACUGCACUCCAGCCUGGGCGACAGAGCUAGACUCCAUCUAAAAAAAAUGAAAAUAGCAAAAUUACAACUUUUCCCCCAUUUGGUCUUCCACCUGGAAACUCAUGUUUUAUUUCUACUGUUACCAUGCUGCUUCUCAGACAUGCCUGACUGUUUCUUCCCGUGCUGUUUUCCUUUAGGAGUGAAAGCUUGGCACAACAUGUACAAUAAAAUUUAGGGAAGAUUUUUGGGGUCUUUGUCCUCUUCUUUCCUGUUAAAGCAGCU
rnacentral:lncRNA from 10 species